UUAUGGUUGUAAAGCACUUUAAGCGAGGAGGAGGCUACUCUAGUUAAUACCUAGGGAUAGUGGACGUUACUCGCAGAAUAAGCACCGGCUAACUCUGUGCCAGCAGCCGCGGUAAUACAGAGGGUGCGAGCGUUAAUCGGAUUUACUGGGCGUAAAGCGUGCGUAGGCGGCUUAUUAAGUCGGAUGUGAAAUCCCCGAGCUUAACUUGGGAAUUGCAUUCGAUACUGGUGAGCUAGAGUAUGGGAGAGGAUGGUAGAAUUCCAGGUGUAGCGGUGAAAUGCGUAGAGAUCUGGAGGAAUACCGAUGGCGAAGGCAGCCAUCUGGCCUAAUACUGACGCUGAGGUACGAAAGCAUGGGGAGCAAACAGGAUUAGAUACCCUGGUAGUCCAUGCCGUAAACGAUGUCUACUAGCCGUUGGGGCCUUUGAGGCUUUAGUGGCGCAGCUAACGCGAUAAGUAGACCGCCUGGGGAGUACGGUCGCAAGACUAAAACUCAAAUGAAUUGACGGGGGCCCGCACAAGCGGUGGAGCAUGUGGUUUAAUUCGAUGCAACGCGAAGAACCUUACCUGGCCUUGACAUACUAGAAACUUUCCAGAGAUGGAUUGGUGCCUUCGGGAAUCUAGAUACAGGUGCUGCAUGG
rnacentral:rRNA from 1 species